CAGUCGAACGGGAUCCAUGAUGUAGCAAUACAUCGGAAGAUCUAGUGGCGAACGGGUGAGGAUCACGUGAGAAACCUGCCCCAGACUCUGGGAUAACAAUUGGAAACGAUUGCUAAUACCGGAUGACGUCGGAGAACCGCAUGGUUCACUGACGAAAGAUAUUUCGGUUUGGGAGGGUCUCGCGGCCUAUCAGCUUGUUGGUGGGGUAAUGGCCUACCAAGGCAACGACGGGUAGCUGGUCUGAGAGGAUGAUCAGCCACACUGGGACUGAGACACGGCCCAGACUCCUACGGGAGGCAGCAGUGGGGAAUCUUGCGCAAUGGGCGAAAGCCUGACGCAGCAACGCCGCGUGCGGGAUGAAGGCCUUCGGGCUGUAAACCGCUUUCAGCAGGAACGAAAAUGACGGUACCUGCAGAAGAAGGAGCGGCCAACUACGUGCCAGCAGCCGCGGUGACACGUAGGCUCCAAGCGUUGUCCGGAUUUAUUGGGCGUAAAGAGCUCGUAGGCGGUUUAGUAAGUCGGGUGUGAAAACUCUGGGCUUAACCCGGAGACGCCAUCCGAUACUGCUAUGACUUGAGUUCAGGAGGGGAGCGGGGAAUUCCUAGUGUAGCGGUGAAAUGCGCAGAUAUUAGGAGGAACACCGGUGGCGAAGGCGCCGCUCUGGACUGAAACUGACGCUGAGGAGCGAAAGCAUGGGUAGCAAACAGGAUUAGAUACCCUGGUAGUCCAUGCCGUAAACGGUGGGCACUAGGUGUGGGUUCCAACUAACGGGAUCCGCGCCGUCGCUAACGCAUUAAGUGCCCCGCCUGGGGAGUACGGUCGCAAGACUAAAACACAAAGGAAUUGACGG
rnacentral:rRNA from 1 species